UGCCCAGCAACUCCUAUCCCUACCUCCUCGUGGUACGGGCCGGAAACUAUGAGAAACCUUAGGGAAGA
rfam:Aedes albopictus isolate Foshan contig11370, whole genome shotgun sequence.